rnacentral:sRNA from 1 species
CGGACACAAAUGGCCAGACUCAAAGGCGU